rnacentral:tRNA from 1 species
UCUAAGGCGCUGGUUUAAGGCACCAGUCCGAAAGGGCGUGGGUUCGAAUCCCACCUCCAUCA